AGCACAAUUAUUCUCACUUGCAUUGUAUCAGAAGGUUCUUGGCUGGUCUAAUAAGUCCAUUGACAUAGGAGAGAGUAAUAGGAGAGAAACAAGUUUAAUUACAUACGUAUGGGAGCCCUACAGAGACAUGAAGACUCAAAGACAGCCUGGCAGUUGAGGUUUAUAUACCAUCCUGAGCUGUGGAGAAGUGGGUGUUAUUCUGAGAUCCCCUUGGCCAUAUCUUUGAAAACUUUCCCAAGAAGUUUCACAGCCAAAAGUUAAGUGGGUACCAUUGGAGGCUGGAAAAAACACAUGACUGUGGAGCAGAAUAAAGUUUCACAAUAUUUCCCAAAAGAAGAUAAAAGUCUCCCUUGUAGUUCAUUUGGGGUAUAAAAGAAUAAUAGAAUUUUAACCUCAGCACAAAAAAUAUCCUAAGAAAACAUUUUCAGAAGAUAAUACAUGUAAUUGCACAUUUUAAUCUUUGACUGCCUUUGGAUAGUUACUGAAAGAUCUCAGUUAUUAAUAAAUGUUAAUGCAGUA